rnacentral:rRNA from 1 species
AAAAGAAAGUAUUAAUACCUGAUAGUAUGGUGAGAUUGCAUGAUAACACCAAUUUAAAAGUAUUUUAGUUAGGUAAAACGAGUGGGGAUGCGUUCCAUUAGGUAGUAGGCGGGGUAACGGCCCACCUAGCCUGCGAUGGAUGGGGUUCUGAGAGGAACGGUCCCCCACAUUGGAACUGAGACACGGUCCAAACUCCUACGGGAGGCAGCAGUGAGGAAUAUUGGUCAAUGGGCGAGAGCCUGAACCAGCCAAGUAGCGUGAAGGAUGAAGGUCCUACGGAUUGUAAACUUCUUUUAUACGGGAAUAAAGUUUCCUACGUGUAGGAUUUUGUAUGUACCGUAUGAAUAAGCAUCGGCUAACUCCGUG